rnacentral:rRNA from 1 species
UACGUAGGGGCCAAGCGUUGUCCGGAUUUAUUGGGCGUAAAGAGCGUGUAGGCGGCCCGGUAAGUCCGCUGUGAAAGUCGGGGGCUCAACCCUCGAAUGCCGGUGGAUACUGUCGGGCUAGAGUGCGGAAGAGGCGAGUGGAAUUCCUGGUGUAGCGGUGAAAUGCGCAGAUAUCAGGAGGAACACCAAUUGCGAAGGCAGCUCGCUGGGACGUAACUGACGCUGAGACGCGAAAGCGUGGGGAGCAAACAGG